GAGCUUGAGCAAAGAGCGGGAUGCGGCACGGGUGGCAUUUGAGGAGGCUCUUCGAGAAAGCUAUCGCACAGCAUUACAAUUUCAACAUGUAGCUGUAAGUGAUAUUUCUUCCCAUUUCCACAGUAUAUUUUUAGGGCAGUUGAAUUGUGGAUACAUACCACAGUUGUCGUGUUGUAAUUUGAAUCGCAGAUAUAUUUCCAUUCUAUGUUUGAGUUGCAUGAAUACUUUCGGAUCAGAAAGAGCGAGCUGCAAAGCGACAGUCACCUGCUCCUGCCACAAGCCUUGCCCCUGUCCAAUGGAUAGAGAGGGACAGAAGAGGCAACAUAAUUCACCAGAGACCUGGACUAAGAAGGCCUCAAGCCAUGUUUCCAGUACCAGUACCCAUCCUCCUGCAGUACCAUGCUCCUGCACCUAUCCCCACAAGAUUCAGACUCCCUGAUGCAGGACCUACAGGAGCUGAUGGGGAGUUUCAUGGGGCCAGAUUGUCACGUAACCCCAAAGGUGACUUGGGCAGAGAGGCAGACAAAAGUUGGGGGAAAGGAUUGAGGCAAUGGUGGACAGCAUGCUCUCUGCUGAAGAAUGUCAAAAGACUGAAAGAGACAACCAGCCUCCUUGAAGAAAAGCGGGCAGAGCUGGACAUCAACCACGCUGUGCUUCAGGAGUGGGUUGCUGAGGUCCAGCAGUGGCCUGAAGGUAUGUUAGGUUCUGAACAAAUAGAUCAAAAGCUA